AUUGAACGCUGGCGGCAGGCCUAACACAUGCAAGUCGAACGAGUGGCGGACGGGUGAGUAAUGUCUGGGAAACUGCCUGAUGGAGGGGGAUAACUACUGGAAACGGUAGCUAAUACCGCAUACCAUCGGAUGUGCCCAGAUGGGAUUAGCUAGUAGGUGGGGUAAAGGCGCACCUAGGCGACGAUCCCUAGCUGGUCUGAGAGGAUGACAGGCCACACAGGAACUGAGACAGUGGCCAGACUCCUACGGGAUGCAGCAGUGGGGAAUAGUGCACCAUGGGCGAAAGCCUGAUGCAGACAGGACGCGUGUAUGAAGAAGGCCUUCGGGUUGGAAAGUACGUUCAGCGGGGAGGCGUGACCCGCAGAAGAAGCACCGGCUAACUCCGUGCCAGCAGCCGCGGGAAUA
rnacentral:rRNA from 1 species